CUGCAGGGGUCCCUCGGCUGGCAGCGUGGACCUGUCCCCGGUGCUGGGUUCUCCAUACAGGGGAUCCCCAGAGUGGGGGGAGGUUCUAGGCUCUGCCCCCACCCCGGUGGCACUGACCCCCCGUCUCUCCCCAGCCCGGGUGACCCAGCUGGUGCGCGGAUUCUCUACCACGUGGAAGGCCUCGGUGGAAUCGCUGAGCCAGGACGUCAUGAGAUCCUUCAGCAACUUCAAAAACGGGACCAGCAUCAUCCAGGGGGCACUGACCCAGCUGAUCCAGUACUACCACCGCUUCCACAAGGUGCUAGCGCAGCCGCCCCUGCGCGCCCUGCCGGCCCGCGCCGAGCUCAUCAACAUCCACCACCUCAUGGUGGAGCUGAAAAAACACAAGCCCAACUUCUAGGAGAGGGGAACCCGCGGCCCCCAACCCUGCCCCCGGCCUGGGCGGGGGGGGAUUGGCACAGCCCCCUCCCCCGCGUGGGCACAGGGGGGUCUGUGCCCCCUCUCCCCAAUGCACUGGGGGGAGUGGAAGAUCCUUGUCCCACUCUUCCCUUCUCCCCCUGCUGCUGUAACCCCCCGGGACCAGUCCAACCCCAGUGCUCCCCACCAACCUGUGGGGCCCCUAUGGUUGGGGGGCAGCCCCAGGCUGUCAGCACCCCUCUCUACCCUGCGGUGGCUCCCCACGAGGGAGGGGGAAGGUGAGGGACCUGCAGGUGGGUGUCAGGGGGGCUCUCCCUCCCUUCCAGGUGGCUUGUGUGUUUGUGUAUCUGGCUUUGUACAGUGACAAUAAACUCCCUGCUACUCA